GCAAGGACGGCAUCUUGUGCCCCCGGCCAAAACGGACUCGCAAAAUCUAACACCGAUCCGGUGGAAAAAAUCCCGAGCUUAAGCGAGAGUGACGCGACGAGCUCUUCCCGGAAAACAAUUCUGCCGAUCGAGACGCGAGGCUCUUGCACGUCCCGGAUCGCCGUUCUUUGACCGCCAAGGGCACAGAUCUCGUGGCCGCCGGCUAGAUCUGGUUCGGAAUCGGAGAAAUUCGGGAAAGUAAAGAACCCAAGUGAACCUGCCUUGGCGCGACUCUUCGGGGACCGGUGAUGAAAACGGAUCAGAGAGCAUCGUUCUGGAGAACUUUGGCCUUCACAGUUUUACAAUCAAAUCUAGAUCUUAAUUUAAUAUGUAUGCCAGUAUAAAACAAUAAUAAUAAACAAUGAUAUCCAUAAUAACA